CCUACGGGUGGCAGCAGUGGGGAAUAUUGCGCAAUGGGCGAAAGCCUGACGCAGCGACGCCGCGUGAGGGAUGAAGGUCUUCGGAUCGUAAACCUCUGUCAGCAGGGAAGAACGGUCACUGUGCUAAUCAGCAGUGAAUUGACGGUACCUGCAAAGGAAGCACCGGCUAACUCCGUGCCAGCAGCCGCGGUAAUACGGAGGGUGCGAGCGUUAAUCGGAAUUACUGGGCGUAAAGCGCUCGUAGGCGGUAUGUCAAGUCAAGGGUGAAAUCCCCGGGCUCAACGUGGGAACUGCCUUUGAAACUGGCAAACUGGAGUGUGUGAGAGGAUAGUGGAAUUCCAGGUGUAGUGGUGAAAUGCGUAGAUAUCUGGAGGAACAUCAGUGGCGAAGGCGACUAUCUGGCACAUAACUGACGCUGAGGAGCGAAAGCGUGGGUAGCAAACAGGAUUAGAUACCCCUGUAGUC
rnacentral:rRNA from 1 species